rnacentral:rRNA from 1 species
UCCAGACUCCUACGGGAGGCAGCAGUGGGGAGUAUUGCACAAUGGGGGAAACCCUGAUGCAGCAACGCCGCGUGGGUGAAGGAGCGUUUCGGCGCGUAAAGCCCUGUCAGCGGGGAAGAAGAAAGACGGUACCCGACCAAGAAGCCCCGGCUAACUACGUGCCAGCAGCCGCGGUAAUACGUAGGGGGCGAGCGUUAUCCGGAAUUACUGGGUGUAAAGGGAGCGUAGACGGCAUGGCAAGUCAGAUGUGAAAGCCCGGGGCUCAACCCCGGGACUGCAUUUGAAACUGUCAGGCUGGAGUGCAGGAGAGGUAAGUGGAAUUCCUAGUGUAGCGGUGAAAUGCGUAGAUAUUAGGAGGAACACCAGUGGCGAAGGCGGCUUACUGGACUGUAACUGACGUUGAGGCUCGAAAGCGUGGGGAGCAAACAGGAUUAGAUACCCCAGUA